CGGGGGGGUAAGCGUUGUUCGGAAUUACUGGGCGUAAAGGGCGCGUAGGCGGUUGGAUAAGUCAGCUGUGAAAACCACGGGCUUAACUCGUGGCCUGCAGUUGAGACUGUCUGGCUUGAGUGUGGGAGAGGAGAGUGGAAUUCCUGGUGUAGCGGUGAAAUGCGUAGAUAUCAGGAGGAACACCGGUGGCGAAGGCGGCUCUCUGGACCACAACUGACGCUGAGGCGCGAAAGCUAGGGGAGCAAACAGGAUUAGAUACCCUGGUAGUCCUAGCUGUAAACGAUGGAUACUUGCUGUGGGGGGUGUUAAAUCCCCCUGUGGCGGAGCUAACGCAUUAAGUAUCCCGCCUGGGGAGUACGGUCGCAAGGCUG
rnacentral:rRNA from 1 species